CCUACUUGUGGCCGCCGUUUUGAAUAUUGCCCCCUGGGGGACCCCCUGAUGCAGCGACGCCGCGUGAGUGAAGAAGUAUUUCGGUAUGUAAAGCUCUAUCAGCAGGGAAGAAAAUGACGGUACCUGAUCUAGAAGCCCCCGCUAACUUAGGGCCAGCAGCCGCGGUAAUACGGAGGGGGCAAGCGUUAUCCGGAUUUACUGGGUGUAAAGGGAGCGUAGACGGCAGCACAAGUCUGGAGUGAAAUGCCGGGGCUUAACCCCGGGACUGCUUUGGAAACUGUGCAGCUAGAGUGCAGGAGAGGUAAGUGGAAUUCCUAGUGUAGCGGUGAAAUGCGUAGAUAUUAGGAGGAACACCAGUGGCGAAGGCGGCUUACUGGACUGUAACUGACGUUGAGGCUCGAAAGCGUGGGGAGCAAACAGGAUUAGAUACCCGAGUAGUC
rnacentral:rRNA from 1 species